AAGGACGCUGGAGUAUUAGGAUAAGGAGCCAGACUGUCUGGCUUUGAAUCUCCACCGUGCUGCUUAAUACCUGUGUGGCUUUGGGCAAGUUACUCAGCCUUUCUGUGCCUCAGGUCCCUCAUUUGUAAAACGGGGGUAUAACAACAGUCCCUACCUCACAGGGUAUUUUGGAGGAUUACAUGUAUAAAUGAAAACAUGCAGAGAACAUAGAACGCACCCAGCCAAUAGUAAGUGGUUGUGUUUGUUAUUUCAGGUUCCUUGGGCCCUUGCUCUGGACCUCGUGCUCUUUGGACCCUGCAUUCUCUGCUGUCUUGGAACUUGGAUGCACCAAUUCUUGCCAAGACUAUGAGCUGUGGGAAGCUGGGACCACUUGAUUGAGCAGCUAGCACAAACCAAAAGGACAUUGCUAUAACUCAAUUUAGAUGGCAGCAUUAUAUUGGGACAAAGCGUCCAAGAAGUUCCAAUCUUGCAAGGGCAAGAUUCCAUAAGAAAAAGAUAAGAUAUGGAAAGAAGAGAGAAAUAAUGAAAAUUGAUACCAUAACUAUGUUCUGAAGGGGACAAUAAAAUUUUAAAUGGAACACUGGGGAAAGCAGUCUGGCUGAGGCCCAAAUUGUCAGGAAAAGCCUUUAGAAAACCAAAGGAUUCAGAUGGGAUGAUGGGUCAAGUCUUAUUUAAUAUCCCAAUGUG